rnacentral:lncRNA from 1 species
AGUCCGUAUCGAUUUCUCAAACGACGACCCUUCCGAGCACGUAUGUGGUGUACCAAGACGCGUUUGGAAGCGCGGGCCUCCUCCGGAAGAAUGGACCGGUCACGGCCGGACUCACCUCCAGCACCUACAAGCUCAUCCUCACCGCCAACGGCAAUUCCAGCAACAACAGCUCCGGCAACGGCACCUCCUGUCAGCUCGAUCUCCAGAUUGAUGUGCUAUGCGUGGAUGUGGAUCUGAAUCUACGCGGUUUAGGUCUGGUGGGCGGCCUGAUUCGGCUGGCCUUUGGAGCUUAUAACCAGAUCAGGCAAACGAUUUCCGCAUCCCUCCAGAACGCGCUGUCCACCAUCGUCACCGAGCUGGUCACCAACGACCUCGCCAACCGCCUCGACCUGGACGCCCUUUGUCAGGCCCUCGCUGCGAGCAACUCUACUUCCUAUCCGCAACCACUAGUCUAGCCGCUGGACUUACCGCUGACUCUAAUACACUGAAAAAAAAAUCUCGGUGUAAUAACCAAGAAAAGAGUAAAAUUACCGAGAGUUCAGGGUUCUAUUUGAUCCCAGUUUUUUCUUGGUAAAAUUACCAUUUAUGGAAUUGGUAAUUUUACCGAGAAAUCUCGGUAAAAUUAUUGGACUUUCUCGAUAAUUUUACUGGACCUUGGUAAAAACGCCAAAUUUUUGUAUCGCUUGUGGUAGAAUUACCGGGAUGAAAUGGUAAAGUUACCCGGAAUUGAUUACCAAUAAAAGUGGUAUUCUUACCUGAAAAAAUCAGUAUAAAUACCGGUUUUUAGGUAAGCUUACCAGUCUGUCUUGGUAACAUUACCAAUAAUUGGUAAAAAAAGUGAGAUGGUAAAGUUACCAACGGACCUUGGUAAAAACGCCGAGAAUUUUGUUUUCAGUGUAUAGUGGCCAUUUUUCAAAGUUCCGAAUGCUGGACGGACUUGGCCCAUUUAAAUUAAUUGAAAUGUUGGUGAAACUGGCUGCGAUUCUAAUUAUCGCUGGACUGUUGGGAGAUUCAAGAGCUGCCGAACUCGAAUCUCAAAAUCAGAUUUCCAAUCCGGGCGUCAAAAGUGGAUGGUACCGGUUGGGAACAUCUGUGAGCGAUGAUAGCAACAUGCUCCCUGAUUUCUCCUUCAGCAAAGUCAUUUCCCUGUUCCAGAAGUUACUUAUGAAUGCUUCAAAAGGCUUCCUGAAUAAUACCCAGCUUUCGAAUUUCAAGAAUACUACACUCAUGACGGUGACGAAACAAAGCGUGGCAGAACUGGGCGAUUUUCCCGUAUCCACGACAACCGCCGAACAGAUGGUCGAGAUCGUCGACCUAAUGGCUAUUUACAACCAAACGGAAGUCCUUUUGGGGCCCCUUAAAGCCGGAGGGAAGCUUUUGGCCCGAUUGAACGGGACCGCGAUGAAAUUAGUCAUGACAGCGACCUCUAGCGGCAACGGUUCCUGUCAAAUUGAUAUCGAGAUGGUGCUUCAGAAACUCGGCCUGGACUUGGAUUUAUCUCAACUCCCUCUUGGCGGCCUCCUCAAAAUAGUAGUAUCGAUUCUCGGUUUGAUUGUGUCGGCACUCGUGGAUCUUCUGAAUCUCGCACUCGGACCGGUAUUAACGAUAUUGCUAGGAAAUCUGAUAGGGCAGGAGAUUAACUUGAACGAUGUGUGUAAACUUUUGCAAGGCUCGCAGGAGGGUCAAUUGAUACCGUUAGCUCUAUUCCCUCUACCCAUAAAUCAAAAUUUGUAAAAAGAGAUUUCUCUUACGGUUCAAGAGCUUUUUCUGAAACGGUUCGAUAAUCGAUCUAAUCAUUGAUAAUUUCUGGGAGCGUCGUGUGAGGAGGACAUGCUGUGAAAUUGAGCAGGGUUGCCACAGAAUUUAGAAAAUGAAAUUCCCUGACACAUUUUGGUAAAAUUCCCUGACAAUUGAAAAUAUGACGUGAAUGUAUUGAAACAUACAGGUUUAAAUUGGAGAUGCUGCCCACUGAUGUUACAAGGUGAUUAAUUUUCUCAACUUUAAAGCAACCUUCUCCGUGAUCCCUCAUCGGAAAAAAAACGGUGAAAUUUGUUUUAAACUCAGCUUAAUUAAUACUACUUUUGCAUGAAGCAAUAACAUUUUCUCAUAUCAGCCGCAUAACCCAUUUUACCUCCUCUGAAAACCCUCCCCUAUUCAAAUUUGUCUGAGACGACACCCCGAAUCAUUUCUGAUUUUUAUGAAUUAUUUUCAAAAAUGUCUCAGAAUUCAGAGAUUAUCAACUGAAUCUUUCAUUUUCAAAAAGUUUCAGGCGAUAGAAAUGACAAUAUGAGAAAAAAUUUUAUGAGAAGAACUUUUUUAAUUGACUCGUCCACACGCUUUUUUCUCAGCUUUACAGUAUUGCAAAAGGCCUUUCUACAAAAAUUUUGUCAUAGAUAAGUCCUGUUUGCUUGGUUCAAUUUAAUACAGUGAUAAUUCAUAGAAUAAAAUAAGCUUAUAAUAUGUACCCAAAUUGCAUCUUGUAAAUUUUCUGCUACCUGAUUAUAAUUUGUUCCUGAAUUUUACGGUUCAAAAAUUGUAUAAAUAUGAAUUGUUUUUUACUUGGCCCAUUACUUUUCCUGGAAAACCCCAAUUGAGAUUAAAAAUGCGGAAAAAGAGUUCUGUUGAUUUUUUUCUUUUUUUUCCCACAAUCUUGAGCUUCACUCAACGCUCUGUAAAAUUUCAGGAAAUACAGCUAGAGUAUUAACUAUACCGAAAAUGCUUUUUUAGAU